rnacentral:rRNA from 2 species
CCUGGCGGCCGUAGCGCGGUGGUCCCACCUGACCCCAUGCCGAACUCAGAAGUGAAACGCCGUAGCGCCGAUGGUAGUGUGGGGUCUCCCCAUGCGAGAG